rnacentral:rRNA from 1 species
ACAGGUUUACCUGUGUGACUGCGUACCUUUUGUAUAAUGGGUCAGCGACUUAUAUUCUGUAGCAAGGUUAACCGAAUAGGGGAGCCGGAGGGAAACCGAGUCUUAAUUGGGCGUUAAGUUGCAGGGUAUAGACCCGAAACCCGGUGAUCUAGCCAUGGGCAGGUUGAAGGUUGGGUAACACUAACUGGAGGACCGAACCGACUAAUGUUGAAAAAUUAGCGGAUGACCUGUGGCUGGGGGUGAAAGGCCAAUCAAACCGGGAGAUAGCUGGUUCUCCCCGAAAGCUAUUUAGGUAGCGCCUCGUGAAUUCAUCUCCGGGGGUAGAGCACUGUUUCGGCUAGGGGGCCAUCCCGGCUUACCAACCCGAUGCAAACUGCGAAUACCGGAGAAUGUUAUCACGGGAGACACACGGCGGGUGCUAACGUCCGUCGUGAAGAGGGAAACAACCCAGACCGCCAGCUAAGGUCCCAAAGUCAUGGUUAAGUGGGAAACGAUGUGGGAAGGCCCAGACAGCCAGGAUGUUGGCUUAGAAGCAGCCAUCAUUUAAAGAAAGCGUAAUAGCUCACUGGUCGAGUCGGCCUGCGCGGAAGAUGUAACGGGGCUAAACCAUGCACCGAAGCUGCGGCAGCGACACUGUGUGUUGUUGGGUAGGGGAGCGUUCUGUAAGCCUGCGAAGGUGGCCUGUGAGGGUUGCUGGAGGUAUCAGAAGUGCGAAUGCUGACAUAAGUAACGAUAAAGCGGGUGAAAAGCCCGCUCGCCGGAAGACCAAGGGUUCCUGUCCAACGUUAAUCGGGGCAGGGUGAGUCGACCCCUAAGGCGAGGCCGAAAGGCGUAGUCGAUGGGAAACGGGUUAAUAUUCCCGUACUUGGUGUUACUGCGAAGGGGGGACGGAGAAGGCUAUGUUGGCCGGGCGACGGUUGUCCCGGUUUAAGCGUGUAGGUGUGUGUUCCAGGUAAAUCCGGUUCACUUUAACACUGAGGCGUGACGACGAGGCACUACGGUGCUGAAGCAACAAAUGCCCUGCUUCCAGGAAAAGCCUCUAAGCAUCAGGUAACAUCAAAUCGUACCCCAAACCGACACAGGUGGUCAGGUAGAGAAUACCAAGGCGCUUGAGAGAACUCGGGUGAAGGAACUAGGCAAAAUGGUGCCGUAACUUCGGGAGAAGGCACGCUGACACGUAGGUGAAGUGAUUUACUCAUGGAGCUGAAGUCAGUCGAAGAUACCAGCUGGCUGCAACUGUUUAUUAAAAACACAGCACUGUGCAAACACGAAAGUGGACGUAUACGGUGUGACGCCUGCCCGGUGCCGGAAGGUUAAUUGAUGGGGUCAGCGCAAGCGAAGCUCCUGAUCGAAGCCCCGGUAAACGGCGGCCGUAACUAUAACGGUCCUAAGGUAGCGAAAUUCCUUGUCGGGUAAGUUCCGACCUGCACGAAUGGCGUAAUGAUGGCCAGGCUGUCUCCACCCGAGACUCAGUGAAAUUGAACUCGCUGUGAAGAUGCAGUGUACCCGCGGCAAGACGGAAAGACCCCGUGAACCUUUACUAUAGCUUGACACUGAACAUUGAGCCUUGAUGUGUAGGAUAGGUGGGAGGCUUUGAAGUGUGGACGCCAGUCUGCAUGGAGCCGACCUUGAAAUACCACCCUUUAAUGUUUGAUGUUCUAACGUGGACCCGUUACCCGGGUUGCGGACAGUGUCUGGUGGGUAGUUUGACUGGGGCGGUCUCCUCCUAAAGAGUAACGGAGGAGCACGAAGGUUGGCUAAUCCUGGUCGGACAUCAGGAGGUUAGUGCAAUGGCAUAAGCCAGCUUGACUGCGAGCGUGACGGCGCGAGCAGGUGCGAAAGCAGGUCAUAGUGAUCCGGUGGUUCUGAAUGGAAGGGCCAUCGCUCAACGGAUAAAAGGUACUCCGGGGAUAACAGGCUGAUACCGCCCAAGAGUUCAUAUCGACGGCGGUGUUUGGCACCUCGAUGUCGGCUCAUCACAUCCUGGGGCUGAAGUAGGUCCCAAGGGUAUGGCUGUUCGCCAUUUAAAGUGGUACGCGAGCUGGGUUUAGAACGUCGUGAGACAGUUCGGUCCCUAUCUGCCGUGGGCGCUGGAGAACUGAGGGGGGCUGCUCCUAGUACGAGAGGACCGGAGUGGACGCAUCACUGGUGUUCGGGUUGUCAUGCCAAUGGCACUGCCCGGUAGCUAAAUGCGGAAGAGAUAAGUGCUGAAAGCAUCUAAGCACGAAACUUGCCCCGAGAUGAGUUCUCCCUGAGACUUAGAGUCUCCUGAAGGAACGUUGAAGACGACGACGUUGAUAGGCCGGGUGUGUAAGCGCAGCGAUGCGUUGAGCUAACCGGUACUAAUGAACCGUGAGGCUUAACCUUACAACGCCGAAG